UCUCUCAGCUUCAAGCCUGCAUCUGAAAGCCCCUCUUGUUUCCCUGAAAGCUCCCAUUCUGCACUUAAAUUGAAAAUUUUUCUAUUUAAUCAUGGACCACCCCAUUGCGACAUGGAUUUUCAUUCCCUUGAAGGCACUGUGGGCACAGCCUGCUUCACAAUAUCCCUACAAAUUUCCACACCAAAAAAGUACAAGCAUAUUUCAGUCUCCGCUCUACAAAUCCACUAGGCUCUUUUUUUCCCUGUUUGUUCUCACUCUGCCGUUCAGAGGGAAGUACUUAAAUGUGAUCAAAUAACAUUGCCUAACUGCAGAAAGUGCUAGAUCCCCCCAGCCCCCACCCUCUGCUCAGCUGUGCUGAAGGCAGGACAAGUAUCAAGAAGAAAGUCAGAUGUGCCCACCAAGAACUUCACCCACCACACCUGAGCUCUGAGUCUUCUUUUCUUUUCCUUAUUAUUUUUAUUUCCUUCACCCACCUAUUUCUAAGUCUAUUCAAAGGGUAAAAUAACUUUGAUCACAGUCAAAAAAUAUUUACCAAACUCUAAAAGAAUAAACAAUUGGAAAACAAAAUCCCUACUUACCCGCUUCCCCGACCAGCCUGCUUCCUUUCUCUUUGCUUUGCUGGGGCUGCUCCACAAAGCCACAGAGAGAAACUCUGAUAUUUAUAGUCCUGUUGUUUACCUCACCCUUCAGCUAUAGUCCAGACUCCAAUGCUAUCUCUUGCAGUGUCCUUGCAAGCAGAGUGAACCUCUGGAUUGUGAUUGUUGUUAAGUUCAAAGAAAGCAGCAAGUCCUGCCAUGCAUAAAGUGGGGGGAAACAUUUCAACAAUUAUAAAUCCAUUCCCUAUGGUUUUCAGUCACCCCAGUAUCUAGGAUUUAAUGGUACAGUCGGAGGCGGGAGGAAGUUCAAAGGGCCUCCAAGUCCUGCUCUUUUCCAAAAUAUAAUAGGGAAAAAACAUUUGCUGAGCCAGCAAGUUAUCCUGGUGUAUUUUCUUUUAAUCUGUUUUUCCUU
rnacentral:lncRNA from 1 species